rnacentral:tRNA from 1 species
GCUCUCAUAGUCCAAUCUGGAUAGGACGCGGGCCUCCGAAGCCUGAAAUUCGGGUUCAAAUCCCGAUGAGGGCGC